UACGGAGGGUGCAAGCGUUAAUCGGAAUUAUUGGGCGUAAAGAGCUCGUAGGCGGCUUGUCACGUCGGGUGUGAAAGCCCGGGGCUUAACCCCGGGUCUGCAUUCGAUACGGGCUAGCUAGAGUGUGGUAGGGGAGAUCGGAAUUCCUGGUGUAGCGGUGAAAUGCGCAGAUAUCAGGAGGAACACCGGUGGCGAAGGCGGAUCUCUGGGCCAUUACUGACGCUGAGGAGCGAAAGCGUGGGGAGCGAACAGG
rnacentral:rRNA from 1 species